rnacentral:rRNA from 1 species
CCUACGGGUGGCAGCAGUGGGGAAUAUUGGACAAUGGGCGAAAGCCUGAUCCAGCCAUGCCGCGUGUGUGAAGAAGGCCUUCGGGUUGUAAAGCACUUUCAGUGGGGAAGAAAGCCUUGGGGCUAAUACCCUCGAGGAAGGACAUCACCCACAGAAGAAGCACCGGCUAACUCCGUGCCAGCAGCCGCGGUAAUACGGAGGGUGCGAGCGUUAAUCGGAAUUACUGGGCGUAAAGCGCGCGUAGGCGGUCUGAUAAGCCGGUUGUGAAAGCCCCGGGCUCAACCUGGGAACGGCAUCCGGAACUAUCAGGCUAGAGUGCAGGAGAGGAAGGUAGAAUUCCCGGUGUAGCGGUGAAAUGCGUAGAGAUCGGGAGGAAUACCAGUGGCGAAGGCGGCCUUCUGGACUGACACUGACGCUGAGGUGCGAAAGCGUGGGUAGCAAACAGGAUUAGAUACCCCAGUAGUC